AUGGCAUUUGUGAUGGUGAAUGACCUUGCCCGUCACUUCAACCUUAAAGGGCGCCAUGGCAAAUGCUCAUUCAGUAGCCUACGUCUUUUUUAUAUUGUGCAUGGUAGCCUGAAGCAAAACUCUCUGCUAAAACAUGUUAACAAAAAGAAGUUGAGACAGCCCUUGGCAAAUGGUUCGUCAACGCCAGGGAUGGCAACCGUGCCUUGCGAGCCCAGCGAGACCUUGAACAGAGGAGUGAAACCGAGGGGUCUGCCCAAACCCAGGAGUGAUCUUCAUCCACAGUAUUUUUUUUUUCUUUUAUCCUGCUUAAUUUUUAAAAUGUCUUUGUAUAAUCAAUAAAAAGAUGAAUUGCAUAUUCUGAGUUGAAAGUCAUUUUUAUUGACAGUAGAAAUAUUUUGUCAUGUAACUUAAAAAUAUAUUAGGUCAGGUACAGGUUUACUAAAAUAUUGCAACAAGGUUGACAAGGUUUAAAAUUUUAUUUUGCAUAGUAGCGCAUUAAAUUAA
rnacentral:lncRNA from 1 species